rnacentral:snRNA from 1 species
AUACUCACGUUGACAGCACAUAUACUAAAAUUAGAAUGAUGCAGAAGAUUGUCAUGACCCCUGUGCAAGGAUGACACAAAAUUUUGUGAAGCAUUCCAUUAUAAA